CCUACGGGGGGCUGCAGUGGGGAAUAUUGCACAAUGGGGGAAACCCUGAUGCAGCGACGCCGCGUGAGCGAUGAAGGCCUUCGGGUCGUAAAGCUCUGUCCUAAGGGAAGAUAUUGACGGUACUUUGGGAGGAAGCCCGGCCUACUAACGGCCAGGAGCCGGGGGAAAUAGUAGGGGGCGGGCGUUGUCCGGAAUUACUGGGCGUAAAGGGUGCGUAGGCGGUCAUGUAAGUCCGAUGUGAAAGCCCUCGGCUUAACCGAGGUAAGCAUUUGAAACUGCAUAACUUGAGUGCAGGAGAGGAGAGUGAAAUUCCUAGUGUAGCGGUGAAAUGCGUAGAUAUUAGGAAGAACACCAGUGGCGAAGGCGACUCUCUGGACUGUAACUGACGCUGAGGCACGAAAGCGUGGGGAGCGAACAGGAUUAGAUACCCCAGUAGUC
rnacentral:rRNA from 1 species